CCCAUCCACUUCCUCGAUUCCCGGAUAUAAUUAAUGAAUAGAUUUACAUUUACCUAUCAAUUUUUUUACUCCCACCGCAAAUGAAUAGGAAGCAAAUUCAGAAGCUUUUUUUUUUUUACUUUUCUUUCGUGGUGAGUAGAACUAGGGCUUCAUCCAAUUAGGUCGAGUAGUGAAGACGAAGAUCUUCGUAGUGAACAGGAGGCAUGAACAAUAGUAAAAGAUUAGGUGAAAGAGCUUACUCGGUUGAGGGGUUACACUGAUCAAAUGGUGGAAGAUGCCAAUGCUGUUAUUUUUACUUUUGGUUUGUAUAGACUCUGUGUAAGGAGCUUAGGUUGUGGGCGAGGAGGGAUUCGAACCCCCGACACAUGGUGGAAGAUGCCAAUGCUGUUAUUUUUACUUUGGUUUGUAUAGACUCUGUGUAAGGAGCUUAUAUACAUGAUUGGAUGUUUUCAUCAUUUGCAGCAUUUUAUUUAAUUUUAUUUUUUCAGUUCAAGUUGUAGUAUGUUAACGAGGAUUGCACUUUUCUAUAGCUAAAUGGGCUUUGUUCACUGAUAUGGCUAUAUGUAUGCAAAGUUAUUCAGUAAAUAUUAUGCCUUAUUCAAUUUUAA